rnacentral:rRNA from 1 species
AUUGAACGCUGGCGGCAGGCCUAACACAUGCAAGUCGAGCGGAUGAAGGGAGCUUGCUCCUGGAUUCAGCGGCGGACGGGUGAGUAAUGCCUAGGAAUCUGCCUGGUAGUGGGGGAUAACGUCCGGAAACGGGCGCUAAUACCGCAUACGUCCUGAGGGAGAAAGUGGGGGAUCUUCGGACCUCACGCUAUCAGAUGAGCCUAGGUCGGAUUAGCUAGUUGGUGGGGUAAAGGCCUACCAAGGCGACGAUCCGUAACUGGUCUGAGAGGAUGAUCGGUCACACUGGAACUGAGACACGGUCCAGACUCCUACGGGAGGCAGCAGUGGGGAAUAUUGGACAAUGGGCGAAAGCCUGAUCCAGCCAUGCCGCGUGUGUGAAGAAGGUCUUCGGAUUGUAAAGCACUUUAAGUUGGGAGGAAGGGCAGUAAGUUAAUACCUUGCUGUUUUGACGUUACAAACAGAAUAAGCACCGGCUAACUUCGUG